GACGAACGCUGGCGGCGUGCUUAACACAUGCAAGUCGAACGGAAAGGCCCUGCUUUUGUGGGGUGCUCGAGUGGCGAACGGGUGAGUAACACGUGAGUAACCUGCCCUUGAGUUUGGGAUAACUUCAGGAAACUGGGGCUCAUACCGGAUAGGAGCUCCUGCUGCAUGGUGGGGGUUGGAAAGUUUCGGCGGUUGGGGAUGGACUCGCGGCUUAUCAGCUUGUUGGUGGGGUAGUGGCUGACCAAGGCUUUGGCGGGUAGCCGGCCUGUGAGGGUGACCGGCCACAUUGGGACUGAGAUACGGCCCAGACUCCUACGGGAGGCAGCAGUGGGGAAUAUUGCACAAUGGGCGGAAGCCUGAUGCAGCAACGCCGCGUGCGGGAUGACGGCCUUCGGGUUGUAAACCGCUUUCGCCUGUGACGAAGCGUGAGUGACGGUAAUGGGUAAAGAAGCACCGGCUAACUACGUG
rnacentral:rRNA from 1 species